rnacentral:rRNA from 1 species
CCUACGGGUGGCAGCAGUGGGGAAUAUUGGACAAUGGGCGAAAGCCUGAUCCAGCCAUGCCGCGUGUGUGAAGAAGGCCUUCGGGUUGUAAAGCACUUUCAGUGGGGAAGAAAGCCUUUGGGCUAAUACCCUCGAGGAAGGACAUCACCCACAGAAGAAGCACCGGCUAACUCCGUGCCAGCAGCCGCGGUAAUACGGAGGGUGCGAGCGUUAAUCGGAAUUACUGGGCGUAAAGCGCGCGUAGGCGGUCUGAUAAGCCGGUUGUGAAAGCCCCGGGCUCAACCUGGGAACGGCAUCCGGAACGGUCAGGCUGGGGUGCAGGAGAGGAAGGUAGAAUUCCCGGUGUAGCGGGGAAAUGCGUAGAGAUCGGGAGGAAUACCAGUGGCGAAGGCGGCCUUCUGGACUGACCCUGACGCUGAGGUGCGAAAGCGUGGGUAGCAAACAGGAUUAGAUACCCCAGUAGUC